rnacentral:rRNA from 1 species
AACGAACGCUGGCGGCAUGCCUAACACAUGCAAGUCGAACGAGACCUUCGGGUCUAGUGGCGCACGGGUGCGUAACGCGUGGGAACCUGCCCUUAGGUUCGGAAUAACUCCCCGAAAGGGGUGCUAAUACCGGAUAAUGUCCUCGGACCAAAGAUUUAUCGCCUUUGGAUGGGCCCGCGUUGGAUUAGCUAGUUGGUAGGGUAAAAGCCUACCAAGGCGACGAUCCAUAGCUGGUCUGAGAGGAUGAUCAGCCACACUGGGACUGAGACACGGCCCAGACUCCUACGGGAGGCAGCAGUUGGGAAUAUUGGACAAUGGGCGAAAGCCUGAUCCAGCAAUGCCGCGUGAGUGAUGAAGGCCUUAGGGUUGUAAAGCUCUUUUACCCGGGAUGAUAAUGACAGUACCGGGAGAAUAAGCUCCGGCUAACUCCGUG